rnacentral:rRNA from 1 species
AGUCCUACGGGGCGCAGCAGUGGGGGAUAUUGCACAAUGGGGGGAACCCUGAUGCAGCGACGCCGCGUGGGUGAAGAAGUAUUUCGGUAUGUAAAGCCCUAUCGGCAGGGAAGAAAUUGGACGGUACCUGACUAAGAAGCCCUGGCUAACUACGUGCCAGCAGCCGCGGUAAUACGUAGGGGGCAAGCGUUAUCCGGAUUUUCUGGGUGUAAAUGGAGCGUAGACGGCUGCGCAAGUCAGAAGUGAAAGCCCGGGGCUCAACC